AUUGAACGCUGGCGGCAUGCUUUACACAUGCAAGUCGAACGGCAGCGCGGGCUUCGGCCUGGCGGCGAGUGGCGAACGGGUGAGUAAUACAUCGGAACGUGCCCCGUAGUGGGGGAUAGCUCGGCGAAAGCCGGAUUAAUACCGCAUACGACCUGAGGGUGAAAGCGGGGGAUCUUCGGACCUCGCGCUAUUGGAGCGGCCGAUGGCGGAUUAGCUAGUUGGUGGGGUAAAGGCCUACCAAGGCGACGAUCUGUAGCUGGUCUGAGAGGACGACCAGCCACACUGGGACUGAGACACGGCCCAGACUCCUACGGGAGGCAGCAGUGGGGAAUUUUGGACAAUGGGCGAAAGCCUGAUCCAGCAAUGCCGCGUGUGUGAUGAAGGCCUUCGGGUUGUAAAGCACUUUUGGCGGGAACGAAAAGGACUGUGCCAAUACCACGGUUCGAUGACGGUACCCGCAGAAUAAGCACCGGCUAACUACGUG
rnacentral:rRNA from 1 species